ACCCGAAACCCGGUGAUCUAGCCAUGGGCAGGUUGAAGGUUGGGUAACACUAACUGGAGGACCGAACCGACUAAUGUUGAAAAAUUAGCGGAUGACUUGUGGCUGGGGGUGAAAGGCCAAUCAAACCGGGAGAUAGCUGGUUCUCCCCGAAAGCUAUUUAGGUAGCGCCUCGUGAAUUCAUCUCCGGGGGUAGAGCACUGUUUCGGCAAGGGGGUCAUCCCGACUUACCAACCCGAUGCAAACUGCGAAUACCGGAGAAUGUUAUCACGGGAGACACACGGCGGGUGCUAACGUCCGUCGUGAAGAGGGAAACAACCCAGACCGCCAGCUAAGGUCCCAAAGUCAUGGUUAAGUGGGAAACGAUGUGGGAAGGCCCAGACAGCCAGGAUGUUGGCUUAGAAGCAGCCAUCAUUUAAAGAAAGCGUAAUAGCUCACUGGUCGAGUCGGCCUGCGCGGAAGAUGUAACGGGGCUAAACCAUGCACCGAAGCUGCGGCAGCGACGCUUAUGCGUUGUUGGGUAGGGGAGCGUUCUGUAAGCCUGUGAAGGUGUGCUGUGAGGCAUGCUGGAGGUAUCAGAAGUGCGAAUGCUGACAUAAGUAACGAUAAAGCGGGUGAAAAGCCCGCUCGCCGGAAGACCAAGGGUUCCUGUCCAACGUUAAUCGGGGCAGGGUGAGUCGACCCCUAAGGCGAGGCCGAAAGGCGUAGUCGAUGGGAAACAGGUUAAUAUUCCUGUACUUGGUGUUACUGCGAAGGGGGGACGGAGAAGGCUAUGUUGGCCGGGCGACGGUUGUCCCGGUUUAAGCGUGUAGGCUGGUUUUCCAGGCAAAUCCGGAAAAUCAAGGCUGAGGCGUGAUGACGAGGCACUACGGUGCUGAAGCAACAAAUGCCCUGCUUCCAGGAAAAGCCUCUAAGCAUCAGGUAACAUCAAAUCGUACCCCAAACCGACACAGGUGGUCAGGUAGAGAAUACCAAGGCGCUUGAGAGAACUCGGGUGAAGGAACUAGGCAAAAUGGUGCCGUAACUUCGGGAGAAGGCACGCUGAUAUGUAGGUGAGGUCCCUCGCGGAUGGAGCUGAAAUCAGUCGAAGAUACCAGCUGGCUGCAACUGUUUAUUAAAAACACAGCACUGUGCAAACACGAAAGUGGACGUAUACGGUG
rnacentral:rRNA from 1 species